rnacentral:rRNA from 1 species
UACGAAGGGGGCUAGCGUUGCUCGGAAUCACUGGGCGUAAAGGGUGCGUAGGCGGGUCUUUAAGGCAGGGGGGAAAUCCCGGGGCUCAACCCCGGAACUGCCUUUGAUACUGAUAGUCUCGAGUCCGGAAGAGGUGAGUGGAAUUCCGAGUGUAGAGGUGAAAUUCGUAGAUAUUCGGAGGAACACCAGUGGCGAAGGCGGCUCACUGGUCCGGUACUGACGCUGAGGUGCGAAAGCGUGGGGAGCAAACAGG